UGCCAUAUGGAGGUUCCCAGGCUAGGGGUUGAAUUGGAGCUGCAGCUGCCAGCCUACACCCAGAGCCACAGCAACGCAGGGUCUGGGACUGUGGUGUAGAAGCAUCUGCGACCUAUACCACAGCUCACAGUAACACUGGAUCCUUAACCAAACUGCGCAAGGCCAGGGAUCGAAUCUGCAGUCUCAUGGAUACUAGUCAGAUUCGUUUCCACUGAGCCACAACAAGAACUCCCAAAAAUGACUUUUUUUUUUUGGUCUUUUUUGUCUUUUUGCCAUUUCUUGGGCCGCUCCCGUGGCAUAUGGAGGUUCCCAGGCUAGGGGCUGAAUCGGAGCUGUAGCCACCAGCCUACGCCACAGCAACACGGGAUCCGAGCUGCGUCUGCGACCUACACCACAGCUCACGGCAAUGCCAGAUCCUUAACCCACUGAGCAAGGCCAGGGAUCGAACCCGCAUCCUCAUGGUUCCUAGUCAGAUUCGUUAACCACGAACUCCCCAAAAAUGAUUUUAAAAAGAAAGAAAUUUAGAGGUCGGUAAAGAAGAGCCUAUGGUUGACAGAAAGACAAGGUAAUUGGGAUGUUCUGAGAGGUUGGAAUCACUAAAAAUGAGCUGGCUUGGACUUCAGAUGAAAUAAAUAUGCUCUCAGACAAAUGUGCUGUGUGCAGCUAUGCGGCACUGCUAAUGGAGAUGAAUGACAGCUUCGGUCAGAUCAUUUCCAAAGAGUUAGCAACUUCUGGUUAACAGACCGUGGAAAUUAAGGAACACAAGCAGUAAGUGGAGGGAGGUGCAGAGUCUAAAGACUUUUUUUUAGGAUAAGAGGAAUAACAGUGUGACUAAAGAAAGUGUGGCGAGAGAGGGAAGCCAAGAAGGCAGAUGAGAGAGGAGAGAAUUGCGGGAAACUGUGCUUGAGUGAGUGAGAGGAAUGGUACCCACGCACCCGUGGAAGGGCUGACCUUUGAUGGGAGCCAGGAAAAGCCAUCCCCUUUCUGAGAAAAGGUCUGGGUAUAAGACGCAGGUGCAGGGAGGUGAGGCGAUGCCGUGGUAGGAGCUUAUCAAAGCUGCUGUCUAAAUUCUUCCAUUUUCUUAGUGAAAUAAGAAGCAAAACCACCAGUGAAGAGUAAGGAGAAGGUCUUAGAGGACUAAAGAUCCACGAAAAGAUAUAAAAUACCUAUCAAGAAGACUAUGAGAUUGAACUGACCAAGGAAAUGGAAGAGGAUUUUCAGAUCGCACUCGGGAUUCAUUUAAAGCUAAGUAUCAUGAAUUUCAGGAGUGCUCCAUCUGCAUCGCUGUGUUUCUCUGCAGCUAUUCUCAGCAGAACCACUGCAGGGGCUGUGCAGGCUAAGAGCUUAAAUGACUACGGGGAUUUAAAGACCAUGGGGACUUGCUAGGCAAGGACAAUGCAAGGAAUAAGGGACAAGGGAGGGGAGAUUUAUAUAAGGGAGUGAUUACAAUGAUAAACCAUGAAAUCUAAGCUGGGUAAGAAAGGAAGUAUGAGUAUGAGGGUGAUGAAGGCCAGCAAGAAGAGGGCAGGCUCAAUGCAUGUCCUGUUGGGGUCAAGGAAUGGCUGAGAUGGGGAUGCUAGAGGGAGUGAGCUGGGAGAGUAGGAGGAGGUGGCUAGAGAGGAAAAUACUUAAAUUUACAGAGGGGGGUCAGUUCUUGAUAGUGGCACCUGCUAAGGGAGGCACUGCUGAGGACAGUACCACUGGAGGAGAGGAGCCGAAAAAGUUCAAAUGCCAAAAUACUGAGUCCAUGUGUAUGGAUACUGAAAUCACCAUAAACACGACAAGAACACUGCUGGAGAAAGGAACAGUGAGGCAAGGGCCAGAUCAGGCUUAGGGGUUGGUGAUGACUGAUAUGAAGGGGUCAGGCGUUGGAUAGUCUGAUGACAUGGUGGCCACCGGGUGAGGCAGCUCCUCCCAGCCUCCGCAUGACCACAGGCAGGAAGGGAGAUGGAGCCUAGCGCUCUGUUGAGGGGUUUUAGGAAGAGAGAGAGCACGGUCUGCAAGUGACAAAGGACGCACGGAGUAAAGUUCUCCUGCUUCCAGAUCCCCGGGGAUGAUGCCUGUGGGAAAGGAAAUAGCUGUGACAACCCGGGGGGGCGGGGGUUGGGGGGGAUGUCCAGGCAGGACACCCUGGUCUCUGGGCUGGGUCCAGUUUCAGGCAGAGCAAGCAGGUGAUGGGGGCUUUCAGCAGAACAGCUGAGGACGAUGGCGAAGCUGCAGAUGACCCACCGGAGGAUGGGAUGAUGUCAGCAGUUGCGGUGGGGGCGGGGAGGGCAGGUAAAGUGAUACAGGGAAGAACGUCAGAUGAUGAUGAGUCUGGGGGCGAGGAUCCUGUGCUUCCCGUGGGCACUGACAGGAGUAAAGAUAGAGGAUAAUGAGGAGAGCCUUGAAGGUCUCCAAGCAGAGGUCGUAUUGCUAAUUUAUAUGGUUAGGAAAGAGUGCAUACACACCCCUGUAAGUUCCCACGAUUUAUCCUGGCCGGGUUGGGGGGGUGGGGGAGGGGUCAGAAGGUGAGUCUUGGCAGAAGGGGCACAGAGUGAGGCCCUCUUUCCACUCCCAUCUCUGUGAUACGGAGGCAGAGGAGCUUUCUCACCUCACCUGCGCAUCAUGAAUUCCUGGUCCCUUCUGGCUCACUCUAGACCUUGGAAGCAUCCAGGACUCUCGGGGCAAUGUCUGCCUUUCGGUUUAGGGUUUUUUCUCCGCAGCCCACAGGCUGGGUCUUUUUAACCCAAGUUGACCUGAACUCAGUGCCAAAGAUUCCCGUGAACAUUCCAGCCAACAGUCAAUGUCCUUAACUUUGCCAGAACAAAUCUGUCUCUCUCAGCAGAACUUCUUCUAAGGCUCAGCUCCCACUGUGUCUUCAUUUACCCUGAAUCAAAUGCCAGAGUCAGGACAGCCUGGAGCCACAGCUGGGUGGCUGGGUGAGAGGCAGCGUGGGCUUCGAACCUGCCUUUACCUCUUGGAGGAACCCCUACGUCUCUCAGCUUGAUUCCUCAGCUGUGGAAGGGAACUGGCUCAGCAGUUAACGAAUCUGACUAGCAACCAUGACGAUGCAGGUUUGAUCCCUGACCUCGCUUGGGGGGUUAAGGACCUGGCCUUGCUGUGAGCAGUGGUGACAGUGCAGCCCUAAAAAGAAAAAGAAAAAAAAAAGAAGGAAACCAGAGGAAUGAAGAUGAUUUUUUUCAGUGCUGUGCUGUACAUCAAAAGAAGAAUGUCAGAUACUUUUGAGACCAUCUCCCAAGGUCUGAGGGACACGUCACAAAUCCCCGCAACCCCAGGAUCAUUGGGAAUGGUCUGGAGAUUGAGAGAAAUCCUUGUGCACUUGGUAACUGAGAAAGAGGUCACAAAUCUGAAUGUCUACAAAGGCCAAGAAGGAAGUACAAGUAAGCAAUGUGGGGCAGCUAUAACACAAUAGGGCAGAGUGGGGAGUGUGGCAAACUGAAACAGGUCCCAGUUUUAAGAGCAGCCAUGAAUUCGCUCCAGCUGAUUGUUGUCUUCCAGGAGUACAGGUCUUGUGUUGUCAGAUCUUCUGUUUUAAAAAGCUGCCAGAUUCUUGAUUUUAUGUGAAAUCCCCUUAUUUUCAAAAUUUGCAACUAAAAAUAUUACCACUACUCUAUGGGUCAUUUAAAACAAAACAAAACAGGGAGAUUUGACCUUCAGGCUACAAAGUGUAUUCUAAAGUUAUACAUGUUUAAAUUCAAGUUUAAUCAAGGCACCCUGAAGACUGUAAAGCUUCUUUUUUUUUUUUUUUUCGUCUUUUUUGCCAUUUCUUGGGCCACUCCCGCAGCAUAUGGAGGUUCCCAGGCUAGGGGUCAAAUCGAAACUGUAGCCGCAGGCCUAUGCCAGAGCCAUGGCAAUGCGGAAUCCGAGCCACGUCUGUGACCUACACCACAGCUCACGGCAACGCCGGACCCCCAACCCACUGAGCAAGGCCAGGGAUCGAACCCGCAACCCCACAGUUCCUAGUCAGAUUCACCAACCACUGAGCCACAACAGGAACUCCUGUAAAGUUUCUUAUUAAAUGUUUCUUGACGGACUAAACAAAGAGUCAAAGAAUGAUAGCAACCAUUUAGUUGGGAAGUUUUUCACCUUUUUUUUUUAAAGUUUGUGUUGGGUUUUUUCUUGGGGGGGGGUGCUGCUCCGUGGCAUAUGGAGUUCCCAGGUCAGGGAUCAGAUCUAAGCUACCAUUGCGGCAACACUGGAUUCGAAACCCACUGUGCCAGAAGGGCAUCGAACCCGAUCCCAGCACUCCCAAGAUGGUGCCUAUCUCAUUGCACCACAGCGGGAACUCCUGUUUUCACAUCAUUAGCUUCUUUUCUUCGGUUAGAUUCCCCGGGAAAGGGACUUUCUGCUGGAGACCCCGGUACGGCUGCUUUACUAGGAAGAUGCUGUGGGGCAGCAACACCGUCCCGGGACUGAGGAAGCAGGACUGGGCAGGGGAAGAAGGUGAGCUGCGAGGCAGCUGUGACUCAGACCCCGCCAGUGCCCAGGAGAACUCUGAAGCUGGGCUGAUUCUUCAAUGAGCUUCUGGAUUGAGGCUGGGCGCUGGGUCUUUGUCAUCAGAUGGGGCUGCCCCUUACAAACAAAUAGCAGGAGAGGGGCUCAGCCCUGAGCUGUCAUCAGCCAACACCCUGGGGGCAGGGGCAAGGAGUGCCGACCUUACAGGGGGCAUCGGGGCUGUGCCCUGCAGCACCCACUCCACUGUGAAACUGCGUGGAGAAGUUCAAUGUCAAGCAGGGUCCAGCAGAGCUUCUCUGAUUAAAAUGGGGGCAGACUCCUGCCUCACCCUUGCCUUCCUCUCCUCGCUGUCUCCCUCCAGGGUAACUCUCAGAGCCACGCAUCUUCACCUAUGACUGUGGAGACCGCCCUCAGAAGUCACUCCCUUCGUUCUCAAGAAGUCAGCAAGAAGAGCAUCUGAGACCUAGAGAAGCCCCCUGGGGAGACCACACCCCCCCCCAACUCUGAACCAGAGACCAGCUCUGCUCCCCCUUGCACCUCCCACCCAGGUCUUGGAGCCCCAGGGCCACUGCUCAGCUCUUGGGAGGGGCCGCAGCGCCUUGGGGAGGAGCGGCUUAAAUAGCUCCUGGUGCCAGGCGGGGACCGCUCCUGGCUAGGAGAGAGAGGAUCUGAAACUCCUGAUCAAGGCUUCUCUCACUGGAAGCGACUGAUCCCUGCGGAGGCUGCUCAGGUUUUCCUUCUCAGAGCAUCUCCCCAGCACACUUGGCUCCCUCUUUGGAGAACAAUAUAAUUACAGAAAAGAACAGAGAAUAGCCACGCAGAUUAAAACGACAGGUUCUCGUCCUUACAGACCCCCCGGGGGCUGAAGGGAACAGCCUUCCGUGUCCCUGAGCUCACCUUCCCAUGUGAGCCUCUUGCAGAACUGGCAGCUUCUUCAAAUGAGGCAGGCGAGCUGAGCAAACUGGCUUUCCUUUCAUUUAACCUCUUUCCCUGCCUUGCCUCAUGCUAAGGAGGAGCUCAUUAAAUGGCCUCAUACCUAUUUUCCUCAGAAACUGCCUCUCUCUGAGGCCCUCCACUGAGUUCCAUAUCUUUGUUCGAAUGGAGAAUAAUACAUUGGAGUCGAGAUGGUGACAUUUUAAAAAAAAUGCUCCCGGCUGCUCAAGACGGUCUGUCUACCGCAUCCAUCAUUUACAAGAUCUUUCCACAAAACGAGGCCGAGUCUGCAUUCCCGAUGCUUCUCCUCUUCCCUGGCCAUCCCUGCACCUCUCCUCACCCUUCUCCCUCACCCGCCCCACCACACACGCUCAGAUCACUACAGGCCGUCCUAGGAGUGGAAUGUGUGUUUUCUUGUCCCCAACGCGGACCGUUUCUUUGCUCAUUAUCCACAAUAGGACAUUUGGCCGGGUGCCUAUUGAGUCACUCUGCUUACUCAGCUAAAGCGUGUAGCCUGGAAAGAUUUCAACCACCGAGUUCAAGAAAGUGAUCUGGGGACAGCGUUGGAAAAUGACGACAUGUCACUGACACGGGCUACAAAUCCACAGUUAAUGGCGUUUCCACACAUCUCGUGCCAGGCUCUCCUCAUCCGGCACCAAAUUAAGAAAAGAUGACACACAACAGCACAAGAGCAGCCCAUCAAACAACCAAGAAGUGACAUGCUCAGCAGGACUACAGAAAAGUGGCUGUCUUACCUGUCAGAUAUAACCUUUUCUUCUCGGUCUUGUGCUCUUCUGAAAAGGUAGGGAAUGAUUGCUUA
rnacentral:lncRNA from 1 species